UACGUAGGGGGCAAGGCGUUGUCCGGAUUUAUUGGGCGUAAAGAGCGUGUAGGCGGCCAGGUAGGUCAGCUGUGAAAACUCGAGGCUCAACCUCGAGACGUCGGUUGAAACCACCUGGCUAGAGUCCGGAAGAGGAGAGUGGAAUUCCUGGUGUAGCGGUGAAAUGCGCAGAUAUCAGGAAGAACACCCGUGGCGAAGGCGGCUCUCUGGGACGGUACUGACGCUGAGACGCGAAAGCGUGGGGAGC
rnacentral:rRNA from 1 species